rnacentral:lncRNA from 1 species
GCAGGAACAUCAAUUGAAGGAGUUGAGAAGGGAGGAUAUAUCAUAUCAGAUAAUUCCUCUGGCAACAAACCAGAUCUGAUUUUGAUAGGCACUGGUUCAGAACUGGAGAUUGCAGCAAAGGCUGCAGAUGAGCUGAGGAAAGAGGGGAAAGCGGUACGUGUGGUAUCCCUUGUUUGUUGGGAGUUGUUUGAUGAGCAAUCGGAUGAAUUCAAGGAAAGCGUCUUCCCUGCUGCUGUCACUGCUAGGGUUAGUAUUGAAGCAGGGGCCACACUUGGAUGGGGAAAAUACAUUGGGAGCAAAGGCAAGGCAAUUGGGAUCGACCGGUUUGGAGCAAGUGCACCGGCUGGGAGAAUAUACAAGGAGUUUGGCAUAACAGCAGAGAGUAUCAUCGCAGCAGCCAAAUCUCUAUAAGACGAAGUUG